CUGGAGCAGCGUAGGUAGCGACAGCUGGAGCAGACUGGAAGGUGGUGAAGCGCGACACGGCUGGGGCAGCAGCGACGACUGGGGCGCUCUGGUAGACCUUAGUCACAGCUGGGGCAGCCUGGUAGGUGACGCGGGAGACAGCUGGAGCAGCGUAGGUAGCGACAGCUGGAGCAGACUGGUAGGUGGUGAAGCGGGAAACGGCUGGAGCAGCGGCGUAGGUAGCAACAGCUGGAGCAGCGUGGUAAGUGGUAGAAACUGCUGGCGCAGCGGCCACAACUGGAGCGGACUGGUAGGUGGUCACGCGGGACACGGCUGGAGCAGCGGCCACGGUGGCGACUGGGGCGGCGGCGUAAGUAGCGACGGCUGGAGCGGCGUGAACAGCGGUCACGGCUGGAGCAGCAUGGUAAGUGGAGACGGUACGAGCAACAGCUGGAGCGGCAACGGCGUAGCUGGCGGCUGGUCCGUAGGCAAGGCCGUGGCCGACGCCGAAGCC